rnacentral:rRNA from 1 species
GAUGAACGCUGGCGGCGUGCUUAACACAUGCAAGUCGAACGGAAAGGCUCCUGCUUGCAGGGGUACUCGAGUGGCGAACGGGUGAGUAACACGUGGGUGAUCUGCCCUGCACUUCGGGAUAAGCCUGGGAAACUGGGUCUAAUACCGGAUAGGACGAUGGUUUGGAUGCCAUUGUGGAAAGUUUUUUCGGUGUGGGAUGAGCUCGCGGCCUAUCAGCUUGUUGGUGGGGUAAUGGCCUACCAAGGCGUCGACGGGUAGCCGGCCUGAGAGGGUGUACGGCCACAUUGGGACUGAGAUACGGCCCAGACUCCUACGGGAGGCAGCAGUGGGGAAUAUUGCACAAUGGGCGCAAGCCUGAUGCAGCGACGCCGCGUGGGGGGUGACGGCCUUCGGGUUGUAAACUCCUUUCGCUAGGGACGAAGCGCAAGUGACGGUACCUGGAGAAGAAGCACCGGCUAACUACGUG